GAUGAACGCUGGCGGCGUGCCUAAUACAUGCAAGUCGAGCGAACAGACGAGGAGCUUGCUCCUCUGGCGUUAGCGGCGGACGGGUGAGUAACACGUGGAUAACCUACCUAUAAGACUGGGAUAACUUCGGGAAACCGGAGCUAAUACCGGAUAAUAUAUUGAACCGCAUGGUUCAAUAGUGAAAGACGGUUUUGCUGUCACUUAUAGAUGGAUCCGCGCCGCAUUAGCUAGUUGGUAAGGUAACGGCUUACCAAGGCAACGAUGCGUAGCCGACCUGAGAGGGUGAUCGGCCACACUGGAACUGAGACACGGUCCAGACUCCUACGGGAGGCAGCAGUAGGGGAUCUUCCGCAAUGGGCGAAAGCCUGACGGAGCAACGCCGCGUGAGUGAUGAAGGUCUUCGGAUCGUAAAACUCUGUUAUUAGGGAAGAACAAAUGUGUAAGUAACUAUGCACGUCUUGACGGUACCUAAUCAGAAAGCCACGGCUAACUACGUG
rnacentral:rRNA from 1 species